AAACCGUCCCCUAAGUUUUGCAACUGUAGCAGUUUUGGCCCCCAAGAUCAAUUUUUGGUAAAAAUAAAUAACACGUGACACCUCACGUAGGGUGUCAGGUCAGCGUAUACCGAGUCAAAAUUGGCCUUAGGGGCCAAAGCUGUCACAAAUGCAAAACUUAAGGGAUAGUUU
rnacentral:pre_miRNA from 1 species